ACCAUUUGACAGAUCUUAAUACUUUACAAGUGGCAAAAGCAACAGGACAUUCUGUCACAGCUACUCUACCACCCAAGAAAUGAGAUGGGAGAUGUGGGACGUCAUCUGCGUUUGGAGAGCUGAUGAUGUAACCUAAUAAUAACCUAACGUAACCUACACAAUCAACACAGUUCUUGUAAUGCAGUGAAGUUAGUUCAAUUAUCUUAGACCUUAAACAACAUACCUCAAGGUCUGUGAACCACUGCCAUCAUGCAUCUUAUAGCAAAAAUGAAGCCAAACGACAUUGUUUCUUAACAGUUGAGGAACCUUAAUGAUUUUUUUAGUAGCCUACUUCAACAAUAACUGAUUGUAUAAUUCAAAAGAUUUUAUUUUAGUAUUUCUUUUUAUUUUAUAGUUUUUUUCCUUUUUUUUUCAGAAAGGAUGCAUUAAACGGAUCAAAAGUGACAGUAAAUAGAUUUAGGUAUAACGUUAUACAUAUAUAUAUUUUUUUAUUAAAUGCUGUUCUUUUGAACUUUCUAUUAAUCAAAGAAUCCUGAGAAAAAUACAUUGCGGUUUCCACCAAAAUAUCAAGCAGUGCAAUUGUUUUCAUUGUUGAUAAUAAUAAGAAAUGUUUUCUUGAACAUCAAGUCAGCAUAUUAGAAUGAUUUCUAAUAUGCUGAUUUCAAAGGAAAUUGUAUUUUCUGGUAAGGAUUUUAAUGUUAAGUAUUUAAUUAAGCAACAUUCUGUGAACAAUUAACUAUUCUAAUUCAAGUGUCAUACCACUUUAGUACACAUAAUACCAUAAUAGUCCUUGGAUUAUUUUGGGUUGGACAUGAUGCAAGUAAAGACAUGCACCAAGUCCAGAGCUGUUUUGACUAGGGCUGCCAAUAAUACAACUAACCGUUAGUCAAUCAGAAGAGGCUUGGUCGACCAAAAAUUUUAUUAGAUGCUUAGUUGCAGAAAAAAUAAAUAAAUUAGGUUAAACCGACUUGAUCCAAACUAAUAAUUGAAUGGUCCUAGAUUGAUUCAUUAAAACAGAAUCUGCUCAGAAGAGUCAUUUGCUUAUGAGAUAGAUUACACUUAAUUGGUAAAACACAGUAAAGAAAUGAAAUAACAGAAACAGAUUUCAGUUCCCAAGCCAAAUUGUUUCCUUAUUUAAGAGCUGUAUCAGAUCUGUAGCACUGUAACAAUGACCCAAAAAGGCAGAAUAGAAAAGCAACGUACAAAAAAAAACUGAUUAUACAAGCCCGGGCCUCCUCAUUGCCUGCCUGUUCCAGCCACAGAGACACACCAUGUACCAGCAUUAUGAUAAAACCGUUUAAUCAUUAGCCUGAACAAGGUCAGUGGUUCCCAGGGUUUCAAUUUGCGUAGUGUGAAACAAACAUAUGGAGCGCCCAGGGUGUUACCGUUAGCAUGCUAGCACAACAGACACUGAGAUUCAGUCAGAAACAGGUGCGGCUCCAAUUUCAUACCUUUCAGUAGAAAUCUCUGACUUCCAGCACCUCACAGAGUCAAGCUUAAAGGGUCACUGCAGUCACCCGGAUCCAGUACGUAUCCAGACCAGAUGGUGGAUCAGAACCUAGAAAGGACCUCUACAUCCCUGAAAGACAGUGAAGACCAGGACAACUGGAGCCCCAGAUACAGAUCCCCUGUAAAGACCUUGUCUCAGAUGACCACCAGGACAAGACCACAGGAAACAGAUGAUUCUUCUGCACAAUCUGACUUUCCUGCAGCCUGGAAUUGAACUACUGGUUUCGUCUGGUCAGAGGAGAACUGGCCCCCCAAAUGAGUCUGGUUUUUCCCAAGGUUUUUUUAUCCAUUCUGUCACCGAUGGAGUUUUGGCUCCUUGCCGCUGUCGCCUGGUUUGCUUAGUUGGGGUCACUUCAUCUACAGCAAUAUCGUUGACUUGAUUGCAAAUAAAUGCACAGACACUAUUUAAACUGAACAGAGAUGACAUCACUGAAUUCAAUGAUGAACUAACUUUAAACUGUCAUUUUGCAUUAUUGACACACUGUUUUGCUAAUGAAUGCUGUUCAGUUGCUUUGACGCAAUGUAUUUUGUUUAAAUACAUUAUACAUUAUAUGCGCUAUAUAAAUAAAGGUGACUUGACUAAUUUAUAUAGUAAUUUAUACAAUAUAUAGCCUUAAAUCACUCAGCUUAAAUACAGUAUUAAACAUAAAAAUACAGUAUUAAUACAGUAUGAAAAAAAAAAACAGAGUCAGUGUCGCUUUCAGUUAGAAUUACAACCUGAUUUUCUGUUAUAAAGCAGCUCUCCAGUGUAGAGCUAGCUAAUGAUAAAAUAUAUUUUUUUUAUAUUUAAUUAAAGUGAAAGUUUGGUUUGCAGAAACUAGCUCAGGACGGUUUUGAUUAUCAUUACCCUAUAAGGUAUUUUAAGAGAGAUUAUGUUCUGAAGGUUGUGCUUGAAUAAAAUAGUUUAUCCAAAAUAAAGGGCUCGUCAUCACUUACCUCUAUUUUGUUUCAUAUCCAUAUGACUCACAAAAGAUGUCAGUCAGAAUGAUGUCAUUCAGUGCAUUUUUCAACUAAAUGGUGAUUGAGAGAGUUUCUUUGUCAUCUCAUUUUGUGCCAAAUACAUUUAUUUGUAUAAUUAAUUGUAUAAUAACUGUAAUAAUAUGAUUUUCAAAAGCUUUAUUUGUUUGUUAGAAUAUGUAUAACACAAUAUUUAAACUAAUUGCAAAGGCUGAAUAAUAAAAGACUACUGAUUAAUCAGUGAAUUAAUCAUCAAAUCAUCAUACUAAUAAUCUUCAGAUUAAUCGAUUAUCAAAAUAAUAGUUUGUUACAGCCCUAAAUUACAUUAAUGCGAAUGUUUACACAUGAAUGAAAUUCUGUCAUCAGUUGUGUCCACACAAAACUGAGCUCCAUUGACUGUCAAUGUAUGGACAAUAAAAAAACAAUGUGUUCCAAA